rnacentral:rRNA from 1 species
GACGAACGCUGGCGGCGUGCUUAACACAUGCAAGUCGAACGGAAAGGCCCUGCUCUUGUGGGGUGCUCGAGUGGCGAACGGGUGAGUAACACGUGAGUAACCUGCCCUUGACUUUGGGAUAACUUCAGGAAACUGGGGCUAAUACCGGAUAGGAGCUCCUGCUGCAUGGUGGGGGUUGGAAAGUUUCGGCGGUUGGGGAUGGACUCGCGGCUUAUCAGCUUGUUGGUGGGGUAGUGGCUUACCAAGGCUUUGACGGGUAGCCGGCCUGAGAGGGUGAACGGGCACAAGGGGACUAAGGGACGGAGCAGAAUCCAACGGGCGGCAGCGGUGGAGAGUAUUGCACAGCGGGGGGGAGCCAGAUACGAAGGCGCCGCGUGCGGGAUGACGGCCUUCGGGUUGUGAACCGCUUUCGCCUGUGACGAAGCGUGAGUGACGGUAAUGGGUAAAGAAGCACCGGCUAACUACGUG